rnacentral:misc_RNA from 1 species
UUUUGGUUCUCUUAGCAAACAUGCAUAUCCUGUUGGAUUUGGACCUGGUGUAAAUGCAACAUUUCAUCGAAUUCUUAAAUUGAGGGUGACAAAUAAAUUGCAGCUGACACCUGCAUCAUUUAUCGUUUUGAACUCCAUAAGGGUUGCAAAUGAACAAUACAAUGAUAAAUGUUUUAAAUUCUGCUCUACUUUGUGUAUGCCAUCUGCUUCCUCUUUGGACAAUGUUUCUUCUGGUAUGAUUUCUGAAUUGAUUCAGUGCUCAGAUUGCAAGCCAAUGCGGUUUAAUUGCAGGGUUGUUGCUGUCCAUGUCUUGGUUCUGGAGAAGAAUAUAAAAUAUUAUGGCUUACGUUCUGAAGUCCAGGCUGAACACUUCGUUGACAUUCCUCUUGUAGGUUUUGUGUUGGAUGAUGGAUCAUCCACAUGUUGUUGCUGGGCCAAUGCUGAAAGAGCAGCAACUCUAAUGAGGCUGCAUGAAGAACUUCCAAUGAGGGCUUUUGAA